UACGAAGGGUGCAAGCGUUGUCCGGAAUUAUUGGGCGUAAAGCGCGCGCAGGCGGUCCUUUAAGUCUGAUGUGAAAGCCCACGGCUCAACCGUGGAGGGUCAUUGGAAACUGGAGGACUUGAGUACAGAAGAGGAAAGCGGAAUUCCACGUGUAGCGGUGAAAUGCGUAGAGAUGUGGAGGAACACCAGUGGCGAAGGCGGCUUUCUGGUCUGUAACUGACGCUGAGGCGCGAAAGCGUGGGGAGCAAACAGG
rnacentral:rRNA from 1 species